rnacentral:rRNA from 1 species
UUUAUGGAGAGUUUGAUCCUGGCUCAGGAUGAACGCUGGCGGCAUGCCUAAUACAUGCAAGUCGAGCGAACAGACGAGGAGCUUGCUCCUCUGACGUUAGCGGCGGACGGGUGAGUAACACGUGGAUAACCUACCUAUAAGACUGGGAUAACUUCGGGAAACCGGAGCUAA